GUAGAAACUGAAGAGCAGAAAGAGGAACCGAGGGUCUGAAGGCUAGUUUCAACCAGGAGAAAAACACCAGAAUUAGGGUCCUGUUAGAUCCGCGAAAUUCGACCGAGUGGAGUGUUUAGAGCUCUCUUCAAUCCAAUCAGGUAAUCAAGGAGAGUAGCCGUUAUCGUUUAGUUCGUGAGGGUGUCAUUGCUCUGAUACGUAGCACUCGGGGAUAAUGAACGCUUGAAUGAUUUAUUUUG